rnacentral:rRNA from 1 species
UCGCGCUUGGAGGGGGCUGCGUCCGAUUAGCUGGUUGGUGGGGUAACGGCCUACCAAGGCGAUGAUCGGUCGCUGGUCUGAGAGGACGACCAGCCACACGGGGACUGAGACACGGCCCCG